GCAAAAGUAGUCGUAUUCAUAGCGGUUUGGAGCUUCUUGAAAAAGGCAAGGAUUUUAAGGUUGGUACUCUUCGGUCUUCAUCUUCACCACGGACAUGCCUCGCUAGAUUAUCUUCAAACAAUAGUUUGGUUCUUUUCUCCCUUUCUCUGUUUUUCGUUUUCAGUAUUAGCUGCUAAUGAGCAAGGAUUCGAUCAAAAUUCUCAGAAAAUCAACAAUCUUUUCAUCUAAUGGACGCAUUAAGAAUUUUAUACCUCAAGCAUC
rnacentral:misc_RNA from 1 species